AAUUGAAGCAGAGGACAGUGGCGGACGGGUGAGUAACGUGUGGGCAACCUGCCCUUUACAGGGGAAUAAUCAUUGGAAACGAUGACUAAUACCGCAUGACAUCUCCGAGAGGCAUCUUUUGGAGAGAAAAGGAGCAAUCCGGCAAAGGAGGGGCCCGCAUCUGAUUAGCUAGUUGGUGAGAUAACAGCCCACCAAGGCGACGAUCAGUAGCCGACCUGAGAGGGUGAUCGGCCACAUUGGGACUGAGACACGGCCCAAACUCC
rnacentral:rRNA from 1 species